rnacentral:rRNA from 1 species
CAGCAGUCGCCGCGGUAAUACAGAGGGUGCGAGCGUUAAUCGGAUUUACUGGGCGUAAAGCGUGCGUAGGCGGCUUCUUAAGUCGGAUGUGAAAUCCCUGAGCUUAACUUAGGAAUUGCAUUCGAUACUGGGAAGCUAGAGUAUGGGAGAGGAUGGUAGAAUUCCAGGUGUAGCGGUGAAAUGCGUAGAGAUCUGGAGGAAUACCGAUGGCGAAGGCAGCCAUCUGGCCUAAUACUGACGCUGAGGUACGAAAGCAUGGGGAGCAAACAGGAUUAGAGACCCCGGUAGUCCCUGUCUCUUAUAC